GAUGAACGCUGGCGGCGGGCCGAAUACAUGCAAGUCGAGCGAACAGACGAGGAGCUUGCUCCUCUGACGUUAGCGGCGGACGGGUGAGUAACACGUGGAUAACCUACCUAUAAGACUGGGAUAACUUCGGGAAACCGGAGCUAAUACCGGAUAAUAUAUUGAACCGCAUGGUUCAAUAGUGAAAGACGGUUUUGCUGUCACUUAUAGAUGGAUCCGCGCCGCAUUAGCUAGUUGGUAAGGUAACGGCUUACCAAGGCAACGAUGCGUAGCCGACCUGAGAGGGUGAUCGGCCACACUGGAACUGAGACACGGUCCAGACUCCUACGGGAGGCAGCAGUAGGGAAUCUUCCGCAAUGGGCGAAAGCCUGACGGAGCAACGCCGCGUGAGUGAUGAAGGUCUUCGGAUCGUAAAACUCUGUUAUUAGGGAAGAACAAAUGUGUAAGUAACUAUGCACGUCUUGACGGUACCUAAUCAGAAAGCCACGGCUAACUACGUG
rnacentral:rRNA from 1 species